GUUUUAAUAGUUUAAUAAAAACUUUGGUCUUGUAAACCAAAAAUAAGAAAUUUUUCUUUUAAAACU
rnacentral:tRNA from 1 species